rnacentral:rRNA from 1 species
AACGAACGCUGGCGGCAGGCCUAACACAUGCAAGUCGAACGCGUGUAGCAAUACACGAGUGGCGCACGGGUGAGUAACGCGUGGGAAUGUACCGUUUAGUGGGGGAUAACUUCGGGAAACUGGAGCUAAUACCGCAUACGCCCUUCGGGGGAAAGAUUUAUCGCUAAACGAUCAGCCCGCGUGAGAUUAUGGUAGUUGGAGGGGUAAUGGCCUACCAAGCCGACGAUCUCUAGCUGAUCUGAGAGGAUGAUCAGCCACACUGGAACUGAGACACGGUCCAGACUCCUACGGGAGGCAGCAGUGGGGAAUAUUGGGCAAUGGGCGCAAGCCUGACCCAGCCAUGCCGCGUGAGUGAUGAAGGCCCUAGGGUUGUAAAGCUCUUUUAACGGUGAAGAUAAUGACGGUAACCGUAGAAUAAGCCCCGGCUAACUUCGUGCCAGCAGCCGCCGUAA